CUCAUUGUGGCUUAGGGUUGUACUUCCAUGUUGACUAAUGAAGUUGACAACAUUUGACUGUCUUUUAUUGGCCAGUCAUUCUUUUUCUGUGAAGAAUAGAUUUGGAUCAUGUCUAUUAUUUGUUGAGUUGUCCUGUUAUUACUGAGUUGUAGAAGUAUAUUUAGUAGGACUGGAUAUAGUCCUUUGUCAGAAAAAUGUUUUGUAAUGGGAUUACAGGUAUGACCUACUCAAGUUUUCAACUUUUUUUUUAAACUGAGCCACUACUGUUUUUAUCAAAUCCAUGUUGCCUGAUCACUUAAUGCUGUAUAGACUUAUGCACAGAAUUAGAUAAUAUUUUGAAAAGGUUUUUGUUGGUGUGUGCGUGUGUGUAUGAAGGAUCCUCAAAAUCAGGGGGCACACCUGUGGUCCCAGCUUAUGGGGAGACUGAGACAGGAGGAUCAUUUGAGUCUCAAAGUUCCACUGGAUUUGUGUGCAUUAUUUUUUAAGCUUUAUUUAAAAUAAUACUUGUAGGGUGUGUGUGUGUGUGUGUGUGUGUGUGUGUGUGUGACUGCUUACAAUGAAUAGACAGCUGGAGACCCAUCCAUAACCUUGAGCCCCUGAGCCUCCAUUCAUGACCUUGAGCCCCUUACCCUCCAGAGGUUUUGCAGAAACAAGAAUGUAGCACACAACACCUCCCCAUAAACACACUAUAUUAUUUACUAGACAGGCCAGCUGAAGUAUGGUGUGCCUUUCUAACAAUGUGUGGUUCUAUUUGCAUAUAUAUGGCAUCUGUAUUAGAGAAUGCUAAGACAGAACCUGAUGAAGC
rnacentral:lncRNA from 1 species